UAAGACCGGUCGAGUAGGGUUGACAAAAACUGACCCGACCCGAAAACCCGACCCGAACCCAACCUGAAAAUAGCGGGUUAGGGUUGAGAUUUUCGACACGAAAACUUAAAUGGGUUGACACGAACCCGACCCGAAAUUAAAUGGGUUAGGUUAAGGUUGAAAAUUCUAACCCGAAAAUGACCCACUUAACCCGAAAUUAUUUUUGGGUCAAAAUUAGGUCAGGUUAACCUGAACCCGACCCAAUAACCCGAACAUGUAUUAGUUAGAUUAGAAAAAAAAUAAAUAAAUAAAAAAAUAAAAAAAGAAACCUAUUUAUUUAUGUAUAUAAUUCGGCCCAACCCAAUUAGGUUCUUAUUAUAAUACGAAGUAUAUAUAACAGAAAACCCUAAAAUCCCAAAUAGCUUUCAAUUCCUCACACAUUCUCAAGCUCUCAGCCGCUCUUUCUCUCCUAUAUUUCAAUUUUCUCUCUCUUCAAUUUUCAAGUUCUCAAAUUUCAAACCUUAAAGUCCUUUGUGAGUCGCUCUCUAUCUUCGACUUUCUUGAUCUCCUUCACGUUUUAAACGUUCAACCAAGGUACUUUGUGGAAGAAGCCAAUUAGAUCCAACGAUAAUAGGUUGAUGCAUGUGCGAAAUUUGGGUCAGAUCUUAAGCUACUUUAAGUAGAAGCUCACAAUUUCAAAAGUUCGCUACAUGAGAAAAAUUUAUGUAAAUUAUUUGCAUUAUAAAAUGUAAAUUAUUUAUUUAUUUUUUUGCUUUGAAUAAAUCUAUGUAAAUUAUACGUAUGUAAUUUGUGAAUUUAUACAUCUGUGAAUUUACCAUAUUAAAUUGAUUCUAAUACGAA